rnacentral:rRNA from 1 species
AGUGAACGCUGGCGGUAGGCCUAACACAUGCAAGUCGAACGGCAGCACAGUAAGCGCUUGCUCUUACGGGUGGCGAGUGGCGGACGGGUGAGGAAUACAUCGGCAUCUACUUUUUCGUGGGGGAUAACGUAGGGAAACUUACGCUAAUACCGCAUACGACCUACGGGUGAAAGCAGGGGAUAUUCGGACCUUGCGCGAUUGAAUGAGCCGAUGUCGGAUUAGCUAGUUGGCGGGGUAAAGGCCCACCAAGGCGACGAUCCGUAGCUGGUCUGAGAGGAUGAUCAGCCACACUGGAACUGAGACACGGUCCAGACUCCUACGGGAGGCAGCAGUGGGGAAUAUUGGACAAUGGGCGCAAGCCUGAUCCAGCCAUACCGCGUGGGUGAAGAAGGCCUUCGGGUUGUAAAGCCCUUUUGUUGGGAAAGAAAAGCAGCAGGUUAAUACCCCGCUGUUCUGACGGUACCCAAAGAAUAAGCACCGGCUAACUUCGUG